rnacentral:lncRNA from 1 species
UUGAGCGUAUUGCUAAUACGCGUCUAUCCCCUUACUUCCCUAAUCGGUGAAAAACACCGAUUUCUACUCCCCCCUUAUUCUCAGAUUAGAUGACCCUACCCUAAACCUUCCCUCUUUUACCCCUAAUCGAUCCCCUCUGUUUCUCUUCCGUUUCCCACCUUCAUCCGAAUUGCUUCCUUGUUUCAUUGCUUUUUCCCAGUAUUAUUUUCUUCCCUUUUCUG